CACGUAGGCGGACUAUCAAGCGUCUUGUGAAAGCCCUCGGCUCAACCGAGGAACUGCAGGGCGAACUGAUAGUCUUGAGGCAGGUAGGGGCGAGUAGAACUCUUGGUGGAGCGGUGGAAUGCGUAGAUAUCAAGAGGAAUGCCGGAGGCGAAGGCGACUCGCUGGGCCUGUCCUGACGCUGAGGUGCGAAAGCUAGGGGAGCAAACG
rnacentral:rRNA from 1 species